UUAACGCGAAGAACCUUACCUGGCCUUGACAUGUCGGGAACAUUCCAGAGAUGGAUUGGUGCCUUCGGGGACUCGAACACAGGUGCUGCAUGGCUGUCGUCAGCUCGUGUCGUGAGAUGUUGGGUUAAGUAACGCAACGAGCGCAACCCUUGUUCUUAGUUGGCAGCCCGUAAUGGUGGGAACUCUAAGGAGGCCCCCGGUGUCAAAACGGAGGAAGGUGGGGAUGACGUCAAGUCAUCAUGGGGUUACGGCCAGGGCUCACACGUACUACAAUGGUAG
rnacentral:rRNA from 1 species